UACGUAGGGUGCGAGCGUUGUCCGGAAUUAUUGGGCGUAAAGAGCUUGUAGGCGGUUUGUCGCGUCUGCUGUGAAAUCUCCUGGCUCAACUGGGAGGGUGCGCCGGAAACUGGAGUGCUUGAGCGUGGGAGAGGAAAGCGGAAUUCCUGGUGUAGCGGUGAAAUGCGUAGAGUAUCAGGAGGAACACCUGUGGGUGUAGACGGCUUUCUG
rnacentral:rRNA from 1 species